rnacentral:lncRNA from 1 species
AGGAUCAGCUAAAGUCAAGCUUGAGGGGGAAUGUUAACUUGAAGAAAGGAAUGGAGGAGCUAGAGGUGUUGAGUUGAGAUGGAUCUUGUACAAAGAUAGGGCAAGAGCGUUAGAGAUUGCCUAUCAAGAGUGAUGAGGAGUCUAAAGGUGUCCAGAAGUGAUCUGAUGGAGGUUCUAAGCAAGGUCAAAGUCUAGGAGAGACUUAGAAGAGUGUUGAGGAGCAAAUGGGCGAGUGUGCAAAGAUAGGGCGAAUCUGUACGGCCAUGUACGGAUCUGUACGGACCGGUACGACCCGAGAGAUCACAACUCGCCCAUUUGAGAUGUUUUGAGAUUGUGCAAAGUCCGGGACAAGAUGUGCAAGCUUAGGGCGUGAUCAGAACAUGUCAAGGAGGCUUUGUGCAAUCUUAGGGUGUUGGGAGAAGGCCCUGGUCGUUUGGAAUCAAGAAGGCAUCAAGAAGAUGCUUUGUGGAGGCAAACAACCAAUGGGAGCUUCC